CCCUUAGAUGUUCUGGGCGGCCCGCGCACUACAUUGGCACUAGCAAAGAGAUCCUAGAUUGAAUUCUUUGGGGUAUUCUUCUAAAUGGUGUCGUGACUGGGAUAGAUCCUUGUAAUUAUUGGUUUUGAACGAGGAAUUCCUUGUAAUCGCGGUUUAUCAGCUCGCGUUGAAUGCGUCCCUGCCCUUUGUACACACCGCCCGUCGCUCCUACCGAUGGAUCGUCCGGUGAAGCUCACGGAGUGACUGUUCACGCAACGGUUUACGAAGUGAAAUGGACCUCACGAUUUAGAGGAAGGAGAAGUCGUAACA
rnacentral:rRNA from 1 species